CCCUGCCAUACUUGCCUGUGAAAAGGACAAAUUUAAGACAACCCUCCAAUAAUGUGAUUCUAUACAUGGAAAACUAUAACAAAUUUAUAAAUUUUCCUUGUGUACAAUCUAAUUAUUAGGGAGUCAUCUUAAAUUCAGAGUCAUCUUGGAUUUGGGUAAAUAUGGUACAUACUGGUAUGUAUAUGGGGUAUAAAACUACCAGCAUAUUAAUAAUGUCAAUAUAUAACACUCAGUUGCUAUAAUGAUGAAUGCUAUAGAAACUUGCCUUUUACUGUCUUGUAUAAAUAGUAUAUAUUGAUUAGGACUGUGCAAAGUUUUGGUCACUGAUUAGAUUUGGUGGAUAUUAGGCCCGUUUCAGUGGCCAAAUCUCCGAAUCUGAAUCAAAUCAGGAGACCCUUUAAUCACUCUGAAUCGAUUCAGCAAGAUUCAGAAAGAUUCGGUGAUUCAGACAUAGACACAGCACAUACCUCAAGGUACCAGGCGGCUCAAGGUAUCACAGCAUCUGCAGUGCUGGGGCAGAUGGAGCACUGUUCCUACUGUCCAGCAGUGAGUAAGAAGCUCAUAUAGGUGUGGAAGAAGCACAGGUUCCCCACACUUGAUCACUUCCUCAGGAAUGCCAUCUUUCCCUGGGGCCUUGCUACUGGCCAGAUUGCCUAUUCCUCAACAUUUGAAAUAUCAUCAAGCUCUUCAAGGACAAACAAACUCUCAGUAGAGUUAAGGGCUAUGUCAGUGACAUCAUCUUCCCUUGAAUAGAUUCAAGGUAUUGUUCUACCCAUCUUUUCAUCUGUUGCUUUGAUCUGUUAUGACUUUUCCUGGUGCUGUCUUUAAUGGAACUGACAUAUUUGCAGCUGGACCUGUCAUCUUCGUGAUUCUGUCAUACAUGUGUCUGAUGUUUCCAGCAUCAAGUGCAAGAUUAAGUUUUCUCUCAAAAUUGCAGACAAUAAUCAUGGGUGCAAUUUAUUGAGAUUAGUUGGAGAACACUCCUUGCUUUUUCAGUUCUUUAAAAGUUCCAUCUAAGGCAUUCCUCUUGUGAUUUAACAUAGUGUUGCAAGGCACUGAGGUAUGCCUGCUCCUUUAAGGGCAGAGGCAGCCUAGCAAAGGAGCCUUGGUCUAGGCAGAGCUCCACAGUUGCUGGUUACUUGAGUAACAGGCUAAUAAGGUUAUUAGCCGCCACCUGCAGGCAGUCAGCUGACCGGAAGGAGGGAGUACCCAGGGAACAUAUAUAAGCUGGGGGCUGGGGUUGGCAGUUCUCUCUGGCAAUGGCCAAGGGAAGGAGCUCCUGCACAAGAGAGCUACCUGAGACAUUGUGCUACCUUCAAGCACAGUAAGACUCUUGGAGCUCACAAGGUACCCAGGGCUAAGGGGUAUGCUAUCCUAAAAGUUGAAGUUUGCUGUCUUAAAGAGGCAGAUCACUGCCCUCAUGCUUGUUGUUAUGUUAUAGCCCAGUUGCUUAUGUCACAAACACCAUGUUUGUAUUAUUGUUUGUACUGGUGGUUUGGGAUAAGGCUAUUAGGGGAGAUGGAGGUCUCAUUAGUGCCCAGAGUGGAGCACAUGAUUGUGUAGAGCCCCAGCACCAGAAAAUGAAGCUGCAGGGGACUGGAGAGCCCUGGCAACAGAAGAGCACAGCUACAGGGGGCUGGAGAUCCCCAGUGUCAGAAGGGUACAGCAGACAAGGGCCAGGGGCCUGGUGACAAGAGGAGAUUGAUGAGAGUUAGUGAUUCAAAGCAGGGUCAGACACAGUGGGUCUAGGCUAGAAGGCCUAGCAAUAUUAAAGGGGUGGAGGCCGAGUAGGCCGAAGCCUCAACAGAGGGUAUAACAUCUGUGUAACACCAACAAGGCAUGGGGCAUGGUAAAAGGGGAGGUUUGGAGCCACACAAUUGACCCAUACAGCCUGAGGUGCCCCGUGCAGCACAGUACUGAAGAGAGGCCUGGCAAAGUGCUCAAAGAUCAAUGAGGUUCAGCGGGCCAGGACCAAGCGCAUGGGCAGCCUCCCAAUUUAUUUUACCAACAAGACAUGGCAGGUGAGAUAAGAGGGCACUGUUGGGGUGAAGUUCACAUCACAGCCACCUCUGGGGACCCCGCUCCAUGACACACAGCAGUUAGUUUGACUUUGAUCAAUGGAAUCAAUUCAUGUGAAUGUGCCUUGAACCAAUCUUGGUUUCCUCUGAUCUGUUUGCCAAAUAUAAAGUCAGCAGUGGCACAGAUCAUUCUUUUGAGGCUUCCCCACUUUUCUUCUGUAGUCUUGCAUGAAGGCAGCUCUGAAGCAGCCCCCUUCAAAGCCUCCAUAAACUGCAAGGUUUUUAAAUGAUCAGAUGUAUUGGUGAUGUUAAUGAGUGGCAAACACUGAUACGUAGAAGAGAUUUGCUUUCAUUUAAUCUUAAUGACCACAAGCGAGUGAUCAUCCUAUUCAAAAUGUGUCAAAAUCAGCACUAUGGUAGCUAAGAUUAAGGAGGACAUUCUUGGUCCAGCUGGUGCCAUUGACUGGAUCUUGGGUGUCUCCAUGAUACCUUAUGGCACAGCUUAAUUUGAAAGAAUGUGGGUGACGCACAAGUUAUAAUAGAAGCAGAACUCUAAUAGACGUUGUCCAUUAUCAUCAAUGCUUCCCAUGUUAUGUGUACCUAGCCAAAUUGACCAGGAUUCACUGUCAGCACCAGCUCUGGCAUUUAAGUCCCCCAGGAGGAUUUGGAAUCUUACUGAUAACACUAGCCAAUUCUCCAUAAAACUUAUCUUUAACCUUAGCAAAAGAGUUGAGUGUUGGAGUGUAGGCACUCACUAAGGUUACUGUAACUUCUCAGGUAUAAAGGCAAAACAUAAGGAUCCUCUCAGAACCAUUCAAUUAAUUCUUGAUUGUUUUGAGAAGAUUGUUUGUAAUAGCAAAGCUUACACCAUGUUCAUGUGUCCCUUCGGGAGCUUUCCCUUGCCAGAAGACUGUGUAGUAUUGUUCUCUUAAGGAGCCAUCUGUAGCCAGGUGUGUUUCUUGCAGUGUUGCGAUGUCAACUGUUUACAUCCAUAUUGAUCACUGCUGUCUUCUGCCUUUUUGUAGUGUUACAGGGAGUAUGUACAUCUGGCUGCUCAACUUCUGUAGUGCUACAAAGGCAUUUAAAGCACUACAGGUGUUUUGUCUUUCCAUGACUGUUAGCAUCUGGCCUGCUCUCUGCAGAGGGAAUAUUGUUCCACAGAAUCUUGAUACUGUUAAAUCCAAAAUCAAGGAUAGAUGUUGAAUGGCACCUUCCUUACAUCAUCUGGUGACCACAUACUUUAGAAAAAUAGAAAUUGUAUGCUUUGAAUGUGAUCAAACCUGUCAGUAUACCCUUCAUUUAAAGAGGCUCACAUGAAAGUACUGCUGUUCUUUAGGCCUUGACAUAAUUAGGAGUUGGUUGUUUUAGAUAUGGCUGAAGCAGUAAUUAAACAAAAAGCAAAGCAAAAAAAAUAAUGAAUUUUGUUAACAGUUGUUAGAUCUGUUGCAAAUAAAGAUGUUUCAUAGUUGGUAGGGCUGGAAGGGACCUAAGCAGAUCAUCAAGUCCAAUCCCCUGCCAUGGCAGGAAAGAGUACUGGGAUCAAACGACCCCAGCAAGAUGUUCAUCCAGCCUCCUCUUAAAGACCCCCAGGGUAGGAGCCAGCACCCCUGCUCUUGGAAGUUGGUUCCAGAUCCUAGCCGCUCUGACAGUGAAGUAGCGCCUCCUGAUAUCUAGCCUGAAUCUACCCUCUGCCAGCUUGUGACCGUUAUUUCUUGUCACUCCUGGUAGUGCUCAGGGGAACAGGGACUCCCCCAAUGCCUGCUGGUCCCCCCUGACUAGUUUGUAAAUGACCACUAGAUCCCCCCUCAGCCUUCUCUUGUGGAGGCUGAACAGGUUCAGGUCCCUUAACCUCUUCUCGCAGGGCCUGCCCUGCUGACUCCUGAUCAUGUGGGUGGCCCUCCUCUGGACUCUCUCCAUGUUGUCCACAUCCCUCCUGAAGUGCAGCGCCCAGAACUGGACACACAACUCCAACUGGGGCCUGACCAGUGUCACAUAGAGGGGGAGGAUCACCUCCUUGGACCUGCUCGAGAUGCAUCUGUGGAUGCAUGACAAGGUGCGGUUGGCCUUCCUGACCAUGUCCCCACACUGUUGGCCCAUGUUCAUUUUGGCAUCAAUAAUGACUCCAAGAUCCUUUUCUGCCUCUGCACUGACGAGAAGGGAGUUCCCCAGCCUGUAGGUAUGCUGCUGGUUCUUCCUCCCCAGGUGCAGCACCUUGCACUUGUCAGUGUUGAAACCCAUCCUGUUCUCAUCCACCCACCGCUGUAACCUGUCUAGGUCUGAUUGCAGCCUAUUCCUCCCUUCUAGCAUACAUCUAAGUGUCAUCUGUGAACUUGAAAAAUGUCUCUUUUGAACCACUGAGAGAUUGCUCUUCUAUUACUUUUUCAGUGUAACAAUCCCAGUUGGGUCCCCUAGCAUGUCAUUUUAAUGCCAGAGGUCAAAUUAGCUGCUAACCUUGUACCAACUCAUUUUAAACUUGUUCUGCUUUUCAAACUCAGUGUUUAUUCAUGAGGGUGUGUGCGUUUUUUAAAUCAAAUGGAAAUCUUUGAAAGAUGGGAAACAAUUAGCUGGCAGAAUAGGUGAUACCGGAGUUAUUUCCUGUUCUGUAGUGAAUGUUUCAUGGCAACUAGCUUGCAUGCAUGUAUACAUACAUGCAUGUAACAUAACACAAAAGGCACAGUGUGCAUUAUUGAGAUUUGAAUUUUGGAGUCUUGGUAGUGAGGUUACAGUUAUCCAACCUGUCAAACUGCGUUCCACUGUCAAUUAAAUCAAACUUUAGUUCCAAGAAUACAAGAUGGCUAAGGAGUUUCAGAUGUUGAUGUCAUUCAGAGGUGCAGAGGAGACAAUUGACUGGAAAAAGAACCAUGUUACAAUGAGGAAUCACUCUCAGAACCACACAGAAAUCUUCAUACUGCAAAUUCAAGCCAGAAUUUACUAGGGUGACUGAGAGAUCUGAAUCUUUAGUUGAGUUUGGAUUUUCAUAGCUGGUAAAAUAUAUUGUAUGAUAAACAUAUGGUGCCUUUUUGUGUUUAUUUAUUUUUCUAUGUACCUUAUAUAAAAAGAAGGAACAAGGGAAUGAACUACAGUUUCAGCUUAGUAUUUCAAAAAUCAUUUAAAAAUAUAUUCUUUCCACUUAGAUAUUACUUUGAUAAGAACAAGUCUCUAAGAACAAAAUUAGAGAUUAUGUUACCUUGAUGCCUGUUUUAUUUAGUUCUGUCAAAUACAUCUGUAGAAAGGAACAUACAGUUAAUAGACUUUGGCAUUCAAUUUCUGACAGUGUUUGCCUAUCUGUUUAUCUGCAGGGAAGAAGGGAUUCUAUUUUAACUGUCAAAGUUAACAAAAUAGGAUGUGCUGCAACAUCCCUUUUUAGUUUUUUUGGGGUUUUUGGGUUGGUUUUUUUUUUAAGGAAAUGGCCUGGUCAAUAACUAUAGAAUGUAGCUUUCUGAAGGUUUAUGUAUGGACAAAUAUAAUUUUCACCUUGUAAUGAUAUUUGUUUUGUAAAUGUAUUAGCACCAACAUUUAACACUGAAUUAAAUGCAGAUGUCUUUUGGAAAGAAAAGAAAAAAAAAAAGCCAAAAUAGUAAGUCAAAAAGAAGAUAAAAUGAUUUAGUUCUGUGAUUUUCAUGCUUUUCAAUUUUUCAGUAUGACAAUUCUUUGGCUGUGUUUAAUCCUCUGUUCAAACAGAGAGGAAUUCAGUCCUCUGGAUCUCACCUACAGGACACGUAGGAUGGAGGAGCUGUGGAUAAACAUUAUUGUUCCUCCCUUCCCUGAUCCCAUUCCAACUGAAGUCUUUCUGUGGAAGGUGCAGUGAAUACCAUGACUGAGCCCACCACAGCUUCUGCUAAUUGCUGUAAAGACUUAGCAUGCCAGGACAGUUCCUACUGAUGCUAUGCCUGAAGUAUAGUGAAACUAUAUCGUCAUAUAGAGGGACAAUUUCCCUGCAAGACAGCUUCUGCCUUCAUGGAUCUGGUGAUGCUCCCUGAAGCCUGGGCAGCUGAGAUGUCCAAACAUUGCUCUCUCUGGGCCCUACCUAUUCAGGUCACACUACAAGGGAUGAUUUGUUGAAAAUAUCAGAAGACUUCCAUAUAGAAAGGACAAUCUAGACAUGGGAAUUUACAAUUUGCUGUGAUCAGCACUACUUCCUCCUUGAAAUGAAGAUGUUAUUUGUCUUAGAGUUAUUAGCAUCUGAGAAGUACUAGAUCUAGAAUACUUGUGCACCAAUAUUAUAAUUAAUAAAGAACAAGAUGCUGUAC